UACGGAAGGCAGCAGUGGGGAAUAUUGCACAAUGGGCGCAAGCCUGAUGCAGCCAUGCCGCGUGUAUGAAAAAGGCCUUCGGGUUGUAAAGUAUUUUCAGUCGUGAGGAAGGUGUUAAGGUUAAUAACCUUAGCAAUUGACGUUAGCGACAGAAGAAGCACCGGCUAACUCCGUGCCAGCAGCCGCGGUAAUACGGAGGGUGCGAGCGUUAAUCGGAAUUACUGGGCGUAAAGGGCACACAGGCGGUUAAUUAAGUUGGAUGUGAAAUCCCCGGGCUUAACCUGGGAAUGGCAUUCAAGACUGGUUAGCUAGAGUCUUGUAGAGGGGGUAGAAUUCCAUGUGUAGCGGUGAAAUGCGUAGAGAUGUGGAGGAAUACCGGUGGCGAAGGCGGCCCCUGGACAAAGACUGACGCUCAUGUGCGAAAGCGUGGGGAGCAAACAGGGAUUAGAUACC
rnacentral:rRNA from 1 species